UGUUGGCCCCGACCGUGACCGGUUUCCGGCUGGUGGUUCCGCACCGGCCCCCAGUAGACGUGUAACGGAAGGUGGGCCGCAGCCAUGGCUGAGAGGAAACCUAACGGUGGCGGAGGCGCAGCUUCCACCUCCUCGUCGGGCACGAACUUACUUUUCUCCUCCUCGGCCACGGAGUUCAGCUUCAACGUGCCCUUUAUCCCAGUUACCCAGGCUGCCGCUGCCUCGGCCUCCCUGCUCUUGCCCGGAGAGGAUUCCACAGAUGUGGGUGAGGAGGACAGCUUCCUUGGUCAGACUUCUGCUCACACGUCUACCCCACAGACAUUUAGUUACUUCUCUCAGGUAUCAAGCAGUAGUGAUCCUUUUGGGAAUAUUGGACAGUCACCGUUAACAACUGCAGCAACAUCGGCUGGACAGUCAGCAUUCUCCAAGCCCCCAACUGCUCUCCCUUUUACCACCGGAUCCCAAGAUAUGUCGAAUGCAUUUUCACCAUCCAUUUCGAAGGCUCACUAUGGUGCUCCACCUGCUUCACAAACGGGAAUAAAUACUUAUCUGCCUUCUCAGCCUAGUAGUCUCCCUCCUUCAAAUUUUGGGAGCCCACCCCAAGGAACGCCCCAACAAGGAUACAAUCCAUAUCGCCACACAGCUGUAAGCAGCAGGGCUAAUCCUUAUAUUGCACCGCCACAGCUGCAGCAGGGCCAAACACCGGCCCAUCCUACCCAUCCCCCGCCCUCUGGACCCCCUGUUCAGAUGUACCAGAUGCCUCCAGGAUCUCUGCCAUCGAUUCCUCCUUCAGUGCAGCCAGGGCUGUCCCCUCCAACCCAGCAGCAGGCACCUGCUAGACCUGCGGGUCCCUCUGUGCAAGCGUCAUCUCUUUUUCUACUUCAAAACCAAUAUGAACCUGUCCAACCCCACUGGUUUUACUGCAAGGAGAUAGAAUACAGGCAACUGUGGAUGCCUUUCAGUGUGUUUGACUCUUUGAAUCUUGAAGAAAUCUAUAACUCAGUCCAGCCAGACCCUGAGAGUGUGGUUCUAGGCACUGAUGGAGGGCGCUACGACGUUUACCUCUAUGACCGGAUGAGGAAAGCCGUGUACUGGGAAGAGGAGCCAGCUGAAGUGAGACGCUGUACUUGGUUUUACAAAGGGGACACAGACAGCAGAUUUAUUCCCUAUACAGAGGAGUUCAGUGAAAAACUGGAGGCUGAAUAUAAAAAAGCUGUAACCACGAAUCAGUGGCACCGCAGAUUAGAGUUUCCGAGUGGGGAGACAAUUGUUAUGCACAAUCCAAAGGUUAUUGUUCAGUUCCAGCCCUCAUCAGUGCCAGAUGAAUGGGGGACCACACAAGAUGGACAGACAAGGCCCAGGGUUGUAAAGCGUGGAGUUGAUGAUAACCUUGAUGAAAUUCCUGAUGGGGAAAUGCCUCCGGUUGACCAUUUGGUGUUCAUGGUGCAUGGCAUUGGACCUGUGUGUGACUUGCGCUUUAGAAGCAUUAUUGAAUGUGUGGAUGAUUUUAGGGUGGUUUCUCUCAAAUUGCUGCAGACACAUUUCAAGAAAUCUUUAGAUGAUCGGAAAGUAAGCAGAGUGGAAUUCCUUCCGGUUCAUUGGCAUAGUUCCUUGGGUGGGGAUGCCACCGGUGUUGACAGGAAUAUUAAGAAAAUCACUUUACCAAGUAUUGGUCGGUUUCGUCACUUUACUAAUGAAACCUUGCUAGACAUUUUAUUUUACAACAGCCCCAUCUACUGUCAGAGGAUUGUGGAGAAAGUGGGAUUGGAGAUAAACCGUCUGUAUGCACUCUUCAUGAGUCGGAACCCAGACUUCAAAGGAGGGGUCUCUGUUGCUGGUCACAGUUUAGGUUCUUUAAUAUUGUUUGACAUCCUGUCUAAUCAAAAAGAUUUGAAUUUAUCAAAGUCUCCUGAGCCUUUAGCUGUUGCUAAUGGAGUUGUGAAGCAGCCACAUUUCCAGGAAAAGCAGAUACCUGAAGAGCCAAAGCUGACGUUGGAUGAGUCUUGUGACCUUGAUGUUGAAAAUGAAGAAGUCCUGACUUUGCAAGAAACUCUGGAAGCACUUAGCCUCUCUGAAUACGUUAGCACUUUUGAAAAGGAAAAGAUUGAUAUGGAAUCUCUGCUUAUGUGUACAGUGGAUGACCUGAAGGAAAUGGGGAUACCACUUGGACCCAGGAAGAAGAUAGCUAACUUUGUAAAACAUAAAGCAGCCAAACUGGAACAGAAAAAAGCAUCAGAAAAGAAGGCAGUGAUGGCUGCUUCGACAAAAGGACAAGAGGAAAGUGCUCAGAAAGCUAAAGAAAUGGCUUCUCCGCCCUCAGAAUCUAAUGAGUCCAAGAGGAAACUCCCACUCGGAGUUUGCGUUUCUUCUGUGCACGUUGAUUAUGAGUCUUUUGAAGUUGGCACUGGACAGGUUUCUGUUGUUUACAACUCCUUAGACUUUGAACCAGAGAUUUUCUUUGCCUUGGGAUCUCCAAUUGGUAUGUUUCUCACUAUUCGAGGAGUGGAUAGUAUAGAUGAGAACUACAGGCUUCCUACCUGCAAAGGGUUCUUCAAUAUUUAUCAUCCACUUGAUCCAGUGGCAUAUAGAUUAGAACCUAUGAUUGUACCAGAUUUGGACCUAAAAGCAGUUCUCAUUCCGCAUCACAAAGGCAGAAAAAGACUUCAUUUAGAGUUGAAAGAAAGUCUCUCUCGUAUGGGAUCUGAUUUGAAGCAGGGUUUCAUUAGCUCACUGAAAAGUGCUUGGCAGACAUUAAAUGAGUUUGCCCGUGCUCAUACCUCUUCAACUCAGCUGCAAGAAGAAUUGGAGAAGGUAGCCAAUCAAAUCAAAGAAGAAGAAGAAAAGCAAGUAGUUGAAGCAGAAAAGACUGUUGAAAGUCCAGAUUUUUCCAAGGAUGAGGACUACUUAGGAAAGGUUGGAAUGUUAAACGGAGGCCGCCGAAUUGACUAUGUUCUUCAAGAAAAGCCAAUAGAGAGUUUUAAUGAAUAUCUUUUCGCUCUUCAGAGUCACUUAUGCUAUUGGGAAUCUGAAGAUACUGCCCUGUUAUUACUUAAAGAAAUUUAUCGAACAAUGAGCAUUAGUCCAGAGCAGCCCCAGCAUUGAUUGGACUUCAGCUUCACUGUAACUGGAGAUAUACAAGAAGCUGAAUGGCAAUUCUAGAACUGAAAAAUAUAGCAGUGGAAGAUAAGAAUUCAGCAGUGGGUUUCACACCAGAUAAGACAUAGUUGAAGAGAGGAAUAGUAGAUUGGAAGGCUCCUCUUGGCUAUGGAAGUUUCUCAGACUUCGCUGGUUUCUGAUGACCUCGAAUAAACACUGCUGGCUUAAUCUGACCCUCUAUCAUUUUAAUAUGAAUUUACGAAAGAAAACUUUUCUUGAGUUCCUAAGAACAAAGGAAAAAUGUGGAAUGAUGUGCUUUUCCCAGGAUGACAGAAGGAGUGCUGUAAUAACACGUGAGUAUCUUGUCCAGCUGCCUGAUCCAUUGCAAGCAUACAAAGGUCACAUUGCAGUAUCACUGAAAAACUCUCUGCCAUAAAGUGACAUUCAGCAGGCAGGAGGCUGGCCUCAUGUGGCACCUGCAGGACACUUUUGGCUGCAAAUAAUAACUUAAAUAAUAAGGAGCUUCUUAUCUUACAUAACAAGAAAUGCAGACAUAGGUCUUCAGUGAAGUCAUCAAGUCUCUGUUGCUUCCUACCUUUCAGCUCUGCCCAUUCUCAGCUUGUUGGUAAUAUUUCUCCCCAUAGUUGCAAGUUAACCUUGGGAGGUCUGGGUUCUGAAUGCAACAACAUUCAGAAAAGGGGAGCAACGUUUUCUCCCUUGCAUGUCUUUUUAUUGGAAGGAAAACUUUCUGUGAAUCCCCCCAUUCCAACCCUGGACUUUCCCCCAAUCCUAACAGCCAUGAUGGAGUCUCAUAUUCAGGGUUGUACCAAUUGCUGCAGAGGGAAUUGGUUUCCCACUAUGGUUUACGAAUCAGCAUUCACCCCUUGGGGCUGGGGAAUGGCCUGUGAAGCCCAGGACACUCAAUACCUGAACAAAACUGGGGGUCUAUUAGCAAGGAAGGGGCAGGGGAAAGCAUCAGGAUCUGCCAAAGCACUUGGACGCCAUUGAUGGACACUCCAAAUGCCCUGAUGUCAGUCUUACCCAGCAGGCUGCCCCAGAACAACUUGGGGUAAGUGGUGCAUGAGGAACUGGUAAAAUAUUAAAACUUACUUAGUGUUUCUUAGAAGGAAGUUGAUAGUGUUAAUAUUUUAUAUACUAUAUUUAAUAUACUAUAUUAAUAUAGUUUAUUUAUAUGAUAUAUUUCUAUAAUCAUAAUUUUAUGUAUUAAUAAUACGUGAUAUAUCAUAUAUUUAAUGUAUUAAUAUUUAAUAUACAAAAAAGAGGGCUCAAAAUGAAUGAACUAACCAUUGAACUUAAGUUAAUAGAAGAAAAGUAGAAUAAACUCAUAGGAAGAACCACAAUGAUGGAAGUAAUAGCAUAAGAACAAACAUUAACAACACAGAAAACAUUAGAAUAACAAUAAGAAUAGGAGAACAUUUUUAUAGAGAGGAUCAACAAAGUCAAUUUGUUUCUUUGAAAAGGCUAAGAAAUUUUCAAGCUUUUCGUAAGAAUGAUCUAGAAAAAAACAAGAGGAACACAAAUAGUAUCAGAAAUGAAAAAGAUUAUAAAUGCAGACAUUAAAAUGUAAUAAAAUAAUAUAAACCACUUUAAGUCUAUAAAAAUGAAAGUUUAGAUGAAAUGGAAAAUUUGUAGAAAGGUAGAGCUAACCAAAAUUGAUUCAAGAAGAAAUGUGUACUGCAUAGGCUUAUGAUCUAAAGAAACUGAACCGUUUGUUAAAAAUCUUCCCCGAAAGGAUAUUCCAGAUGGUUUUUACUAGCAAGCGCUAUCAGAUAUUCAAGAAACAAAUAAAUCUAGUUUUAUACAAAUUAUUCCAGAUAUAGAAAAAGUGGGAACAAUCCUCAACUCAUUUUGAAAGUUGGAUAACUUUGGAUAAGGACUGAAUGGGAAAGGAAAAUCAUUCAUAAACAUAGUUAUAAAAAUCCCAAAGAAAAUAUUAGCAAAAUCCUUUAUCAAUUAAAUGUGUAAAUCAUGAACAAGUUGGGUUUGACUUAACAUUAUAAAAUAAUAUAAAUUAUCAUAUUAACAGAUUAAAGGAAAAUAGUUUUAGGAUUAUCUCAACACAUGCCAAAAAAAGCAUUUGAUGAAACUUCUGUUCAUGGUAAAAAAAAUUCUUAGUGAACAGAAGACUGACGAUGCCAGUUUGGCUGGCCCAUUGGCUAAGUAGCAGUUUCUCAGGAUGUUCCCUGAUGCUCUAUUGAAAGCUGACCACAGAACUCCUCUGUCCUUUGGGGCUCCUUUCCCGAGUUUCAGCUUUGUGCUGUUGUGUGAAAGUCUUGUAAAUAAAAACAGGCACAUGUUAUAUAUACUGUUCUCAUCCUUACUUAGUUCCAUUUGACAUACUUACUAUAGACAUAUUUUCUCUUCAAUAUGCAUAGAUCUACUGCACUCUAAUAGCUACAUAGAAAUCCAUUGUAUAUAAACCAUAAUUCAUAAACUUUGUUAAGAAAACAUAGUUCAGCAGCCUGAAGACUGAGGGCAACUCUUAAUACAUACAGAAUUAUUAUUGAGUUGGAUGGAAUGAAAACCAUAUAACAUAAAAAACUGGACAUUCUGGGCUUCCCUGGUGGCGCAGUGGUUGAGAAUCUGCCUGCCAAUGCAGGGGACACGGGUUCGAGCCCUGGUCUGGGAAGAUCCCACAUGCCGCAGAGCAGCUAGGCCCAUGAGCCACAACUACUGAGCCUGAGCGUCUGGAACCCGUGCUCCGCAAAAAGAGAGGCCGCGAUAGUGAAGAGGCCAGCGCACCGCGAUGAAGAGUGGCCCCCGCUUGCUGCAACUGGAGAAAGCCCUCGCACAGAAGCGAAGACCCAACACAGCCAAAAAUAAAAUAAAGAAUUAUUCUGCCUUCCUCACUGAAUUACUUAAAAAAACAAAACAGGGCUUCCCUGGUGGCGCAGUGGUUGAGAGUCCGCCUGCCAAUGCAGGGGACACGGGUUCGUGCCGCGGUCCGGGAGGAUCCCACAUGCCGCGGAGCGGCUGGGCCCGUGAGCCAUGGCCGCUGAGCCUGCGCGUCCAGAGCCUGUGCUCUGCAACGGGAGAGGGCACAACAGUGAGAGGCCCGCGUACCACCAAAAAAAACAAAACCAAAAACAAACAAACAAAAAAAAAUGGACAUUCAGUAGAUUUCCACCACCUGAGGAAAAAUCUGGGCUCCUCUGGGCUGUAAAAUCAUCACCCUGUGAACUGAGAUUUGGGCGAAUGUGACAAAAGCAACUUUUGAAGGUCAUCUUUCUGUAUACGGGUCCAAAAGUGAGGAGAAGAUAUUCAGCAGUGCUUCUGGGGAUGUGACCCAACAGAGAGAACGUGACUACAAAGUCCAUAAACCCGAGGUGCUUUCAUUCUAGAAAAAUCUAUAGUCACUCCAACUACCCACCCCCCAUCCCCCCAGGAAAUUUGUUGGAAUGUUUGUUUUAAACAAUACCGUCUGUGACUCCCAGUUUGGUGGACUGACUGUGGGGCAGGAAGGGGCUGGCCAGGCACCUUCCAGAACAAAGGGGACCUGGCUUGAGGGGGAGGAUGGGAGGUCGGGGGUGUGAGAAUGCAGGUCACAGGUUCAUCACUGCACUCUUUGGCAAGUGACUUGGUUUCUCCUGGGCCUUCUUUCCUCUUCUUUAAAAUGGGCAGGAUGGUGUUUGUUAAAUGGUGUUUGUGAGCCUUAAGUAAGAUAAGCUUCCCUGCCAAAGAAGGGUGGAUUUCAGAAUAUAGCAAACAGCUUGCCGUUUGGGGAAUGUUAUUCCAGGGAAUAGUUUUCAAGUGGAGUCAGACUGUGUUCUUCCUUGUGUUCAGGGGUUGCACUCAGAGUGAUAAUAAGGAAAGUAUCAUAAAGUAAUUUCUGGGUUAACCCAGCUGUUGGCCAUUCAUUUUUCCUUUUUGCUGGGUUGCCCCCUCUAAGACCCUCCUCAAACCACCAAGCAGCAGUGGGGCAGUCACUGGAAAGUGCCCAGGGGAGACUGGGAGAGGACUCUAAGUACCUCCCUCACCCCAUAAACAACUUAAACAACCUGAUUAGACAUUUCUAUUCUGUCCCCCAAAUCUCUCCUCUCUUGCCAGUAGGGGUUUCUCCCUCCUUGGGCAGAGCUCAGCCUAACUGGCUCAACCACGUAAAAACCUGCGGUUAAUAGACCCUGUCCUCACCUGAAAUCAGUUUGGCAACCCUACCCUUUUACUAGAGCAUAACCUUAGGGCCUUUACCAUACUGGUCCAUGCCAAAUUCUUAGCAAAACAUUUUUUCCACAAGAGAAGAUGUCGUGCCAGUUGCUACGAGAUUCUGUUUUCCCUCCAUAUUUUUGCAUCAGCAACAUUGUCGUGGGCAUGUGAAGCUGGCAGGAGCCUCUUCUGUCACUGCCAGACUCCUGAUAAUGUUGCAUGUGUUGCCUUGGCCACCUCUGGCUUCCUCAGUUAUGUGCAGCUGCUACUGGCUACAUGCAGAUCCCUCUUGGGCCAUGUCCAAGCUCUUCACAGCUCCCUCCACCCUUUCCAAGCACUCGCCCUGGUGGUAGGGAAUUCAGUGCGGAGGCUUGAGUGCCUGUGUGAUGGGGCCAUUGUAACUCCAGGACCCAGCGCUGCACCUACCCAGGAAAGCUACCCCCAAAUUUUUGUGGAACAAAUCCAUGUAUAUCCAUCGACUACCGAGUGUUAUAUAUUACCCUCCAUAUAACCUUCUACACUUUCUUGCUGUGGAAGGGUGUAUUAGUUUUCGAGGACUGCUAUAACAAAGUAGCACAAACUGGGUGGCUUAAACAACAGAAAUUGUCUCUCAGUUCUGGAGGCCAUGAAACUGAGCAGAACCCUGUAGGGGUUUUCCGGGUACAAAAGCCCUUCUGUGUUGCUUGUUUCUUGUUUGUAAAAAAACGCCUUUAGUCUCCUAGGCUUUCCCUGAGUUUCAGAGAGCAGGCUCAAACAGUUAAGUAAUUAGCGAAGUGAGGGAAUACAGAAAGGGAAAUCAGUCAAGCAAGAAAAGUAAUGAUAGCUUAAACAAUAGUUCAGAUAAAUAAAACAUAAAUUAAAUGAAAAACUUAAAAAAAUUAAAAAAUAAAAAAUAGUUCAGAUAAUGAAACAGAGUCCUGCCUCCCCCUCAGGGGAUAUAUAUAACAAUCUGAUGCUUAUCUUUGAGUUGUUCUGCAGAAACUAAGACACCCACCCAGGUGGAGGAUGGUGACUGCAUGCUGACCACAAGCAGGCAGACCCCAGACUGGCUGGAACCAGAAACUGAUGAUUAAGGUUCCUGAAACACCACCCUGUUACCUCACCACCAACCAAUCAGAAGAAAGUCAUGUACCCUGCAACUCUCACCCCAAAUGUUGCCUUUAAAAACCCUUCCCUGAAAGCCGUUGGGAGUUUGGGUCUUUUGACAACAAGCUGCCUGUCCGCCUUGCUUGACACCUGACUUCAUUUUAACUAAUUACAUCUGCAAUGAGUCUAAGUCAGGUCACAUUCUGAAGUACUGGGGUUAGAACUUGAACAUAGGAAUUUGGGGGUCGGGAUGUCAUUCAACCUAUAACAAGGGUUACCAAGUGGUAUAGUUCCUUUCCUUUGUUCUCAAUUCUGUUGCUCUUUCUCCAUUUAUGUUAGAAGAGGUUGAAACUUACAUAGAUUUCUUUGAAGUAUGGACAGAACUUUCCUUGAGGAGGACCAAGGAAAUGUUCCUCACCUUAACAAACCUUAUAAGAAUUUUGGGUUUUCUCUGAAUAUGACAACUGAGGCUAAGAAUCUUAGUGAUCACGUAAAUCGUGCUAUUUCAUCUCGACCUUGUGUAUCUGUGAAUAAACGAUAUUUUCUCUUUGGAAUCAGUGAACUGUUGGCACCUCAUUUUUAGCUGUGUGACUUUAAGUAAAAUGUAGUGCUGUCUUGUGACGGGAUGGACACAGCUGACACAACGUUUGUUAGAAGAAACCGGAAACGAUAGAAAUGGCAAACCUUUUCUCUACUGCUUGCUCAGACAGACGCUGCUCUAAGCACGGGACUCAUCCAACCGCCCCCAACCCCACCAGAGGGCUGCUGUUAACAAUCAUCCCAUUUACAGGUACAGAGACCAUGCACACAGAGCGGCCAGCAGAUGGCGCCAGAGCUAGAUUUGAAUCCAGGCAGCCUCAUUCCCACCUGGGAAGGCACGGGGUGAUUCUGACACUGUAACCAGGCUAGAGCUUGUAUGCCCGUGGCAGCUACAAAGUAAGUUUGCAGCAAAGUAAGGGUUUGUUGCAGGGCGCCGAGCAAGGGAGUGGGAGACAAGCCUCAGAUCCAUUCCAACUUGUUCUUUGAGUUAGGGGUUUUUUUUUUAAAGGGAAAGAACAAAGGGGCUGGGAUUAAUCAUGUCCUGUGACAUUUCUUUGACAUUCCUUAUUUGAGGUUUUGGAGUAAAGAUGUCUGUGGUUUACGAUUCUCUGGCGGGGUUGUCCACGGCUUGGGGGUCUGUUAGUUCAUCUUGCCCUGGAGAAACAACCUGAAUUUGUAGUUAAGGGUGAUAUCUAAACAGCAAUUUUAGCACAUUAACGAUGUUAUUGACAACAGCAAUUUUCGUACAAUAAUGACUAUCGACAGCAGCAGUUUUAGUCAUCUGACUUGUGGAUUAGUGUUCAGUUAUCCCAGGGUUGAGGUCAGAGGGGACAAGAAGGGGAAUAAAGUUUUAGAUAGGUUCAUCUUAAACGCGGCUUUAGGGGGGACUCGGUUUGAACACCUCACUCUAAUCCCAGCCAUUGCCUAGAGCCUCUCGGGGAAUACACAGCCCCCGUGGGAGUACAGCUAUCUUUCAGGGAGCCUUUGAAGAGCAUGGUGUUGGGAGUGGAAACUUACAUGGAUUAUAGUUAAUUUUUACCAUCUACAUUUCUGGCCAAGAAACUGUCUUGGUAAGAUGCAAAACUCAGUCAUGUGCCUGCCAACAGUGCCACAGCCUCGGGCCGUCAGGCAGUUGGCCCUGCCCCACACUGGCCCUGGAAGUGUCACCUCUUCAGGUGCCCGGUGGAGCCUGUUCCCUUUGGAAGUCCUCCAGCUCCUGUCUCUCCCCGGCCUGUGGCUGACGCUCUCUGGGCAAUUCUCCAUUCAUUAACCGUUCCCUCAGGGUUUAAGGCAGAGGAAAGAAGCUAAUACCUAGUGUGGAACUUGGCAGAGGGAAGGAUGGCAGGAGCGAGAUUGGAGCCAGUGGCUUAGAUGCACGGAGGGGGUUUGCCGCCCUGCUCUGCUGGCUUGGUCUCCAAGGUCAUGGUGAAGAUGCACACAUUUUACUUGGGGAGAGAGAGGGAAAAGGGCCAGUUGUGGAGGACAUAUCUGCUUCCCAUGAAGUGACAGAGAAUAUGCCCCAAGGAACCCUAGUCAGGACACACCAGGGGCUGGGGCAGUUUUCAGAGCCCAGAGGAUCUGCUUAAAGAAUGGGCUUCUGGUGACUGGUUAAGGGGGGCGGCAUUGGGAAGAAGAAGAAAGGGGAGGGACUGGACGGGGUGAGGGGGAGAAAAGCCAAAGGUGGCCAGGCUCACCGUCUUGCCUGGGGCUUACCUGGAAAUUUUGCCUUGGGGUUGACUCAUUAUUACGGCUAACAGUUAUGGAGGAAUGGGAAGAACUGGCCUAUGAGUGGCUAAGUCAUUUUAUGGACAAAUAUGUACCUCUAUUUUCCUAACUGUAAAAUGGGACAGCAGCUUUCCAGGAUGGCAUUGGGCUAGGAAUGUGGGUUUUGCAGCUGCAGCACUGCUGGCGUUCCCGUCCAGCUCUGAUGCUUUCUGUGUGAACUUGAGCAUCUCUAAGCCUAGACAAUCUCUCAGCAGCGAAUGAGAGAAACACACUGGGGUUGGGGAAUGGGGAGAGAUCUCUAUGGGACCUACAUGCUGAGGACUGAGAGCUGAAUUCUCCAUGCUGGAACAUGAUUUUAUAAACUAUGCCCAUGUAGAGCUGACUCAUGCUUGCUGGGUUUGUGUGGAUAAAACAGAAACUAGCCAGAGCAGAUUCUGGAGAACAGAACUGGUUCUGCUUGGAAUCAUGUGAGACAAAUCAACAGUAGCUUGUCAAAAAACUGUAUGUAGGACUAGAGUCUUGGGAAACCACCAUAUGUUAAUGACUGAAUUUAGUUUUGUGAGUAUCUGCAUACAUGUGAUGUAAAUUUAAAUUCUAACCUUCUCACAAUGCUAGAUCUAUCUGUGAAGUGUUAAAAAACAAAAUUCAAGUGAGUAAAUUUGAAGAUUUAAUGGAGUUUAUUAAGUGACUGAUGAGUCGGGCAGCAUCCAUUCUACCAGCUAGAAGGAGACUCGGAGAAGGUUGUACAAAAUGGAAAGCUUUUUGUUUUUUUUUUAAAUUUAUUUAUUUAUUUUAUUUAUUUAUUUUUGUCUGCGUUGGGUCUUCGUUGCUAUGCGCUGACUUUCACUAGUUGCAGCGAGCGGGGACUACUCUUCGUUGUGGUGCAAGGGCUUCUCACUGCGGUGGUUUCUCUUGUUGCAGAGCACGGGCUCUAGCCACGUGGGCUUCAGUAGUUGGGGCACGUGGGCUCAGUAAUUGUGGCUCGCAGGCUCUAGAGCCCAGGUUCGGUAGUUGCGGCGCAUGGGCUUAGUUGCUCCGCGGCAUGUGCUACCUUCCUGGACCAGGGCUCAAACCCGUGUCCCCUGCAUUGGCAGGCGGAUUCUUAACCACUGCGCCACCAGGGAAGCCCUGACCCUCUUUUUAAAUGUUGCAGUUAAACACGACAGUUUGUAAAGAAUUUCCAGAGAGUUUAUAAACUCAGGGGUCCAUCUCUGUUUAAGAAACUGAGUGCACGGACUUCCCUGGUAGCUUUCAGGUUUGCAUUCCUGCUUUCAACUUUGUAUAAUUACUUAGGGAUUACUUUGUAUGUACUCUCAGAUAUGUCUAUUUGCCAGCCACUGCCCGUGCAAAUAUUCGACUUGAAAAGAGUGUGUGUAUAAGGCCGCAUGUUUGGAUAACACUCCCAGAUCAUUCCAUGUGGGAAGAAUUCCACUAGAAAACACACCCACUGUUUCUUCCACUGAUUCAGCUUUGAACCUGCUUAAGCCAAUUUGUUGCUAUUCUGAUCAUGGUCAGCAGUUAUAUUAAAGUCCUGAUAAAUCAAUUUACAAGUCAAGCAGUUUCGCACUGCAGGGUAUUACUUUGUGGGGAGAGAAGAGAUGGGAGUAGUAGCUUGGGAUUCAUAAUCGAUGCACCUCUCUUGUAUAGACCCUUUCCUUAGAGUAGGAUUUUGUGCAGGCAUGCCAUAAAGCAAAUCUUAUGAAGCCUGAAACAGCACAAAGUGAACUUUCCAGGUUCUCAGAUUCCCUGAUUUGUUAAAGGUCAGGUUGCUCUCUGUGGGGAAGUUGGACCCUGAGCACAGAGCCAGGUUUAUGCCUUAAGAUGAACUUGUGAGUGCUGUGGUACCCAGUGCUUCCAAGAACCAGAAGAGCCAUCUGGGGUGAGGACACAGCUUUGACCUCCCACCCCCAACUGGCUCAACAAGAGACAGACAUAGCAAAGAAAGAACCUUCUCGGAAGUGUUGCCAUUUGCAAUUUUUUUUUUUUUUCUUGCAUAGUAAGUGGUGGGUAGAAUAUUGUGGCUGGGAGUUUUCCUGCUCAACUAAAGUCAUGGUUCUUUGAUUAAAUCCAUAUCUCCUCAGAAGAUUAUGACCCAUCCAGAAGGCUUUAUGCUUAACUUCUGAGUGCUGGGGAGGACAGGAGGCCUGCUCUCAUAAUUUUGUUUUUAUUAGAAGCAUUUAUCACACUGUCGUAACUCUUACUUUUGUAUUAAAAUUUCCACAUGGCAUUUUUAAAGUAAAAGCUUUGUCUUAUUGCAAUUUUUUUAUUGAAGUGAAAAUCACAGGACAUAAAAUGAACCAUUUUAAAGUGAAAAAUUCAGUGGAUUUAGUAUAUUCACAGUGUUGCACAAUCACCACCUCUGUCUAGUUCCAAACAUUUUCAUCACCCCGUAAGGAAACACUGGACCCAUUAAGCAGUUACUUUCUAUUCCCCCCUCUACCUAGAAUCCUGGCAGCCAGCAAUCUGCAUUCUAUCUCUAUGGAUUUAUCUAUUCUGAUAUUUCAUAUAAAUGAAAUCAUAUAAUAUGUGGCUUUUAGGUUGCUUCCUUCACUUAGAAUAAUAUUUUCAAGGUUUAUCCACAUUGUGGCAGGUAUCAGAACUCCAUUCCUUUUUAUGGCUGAAUAAUAUUCCAUUGUGUGGAUCUGCCACAUUUGGUUUAUCCAUUCAUCUGUUCAUGGACAUUUGGACUGUUCCCACCUUCGGUUGAAUGCUUUGUUUGGGAAUUAGACACCAGAGCAUAUGACACUAAGUGGCAACUCAUAUGGUGGCAAGAUUCUUUGAUGGAAGAGUCACUCCAUGGUACACAUCGCAAGGGAGAAAUGAUAAUUCUAUAGGAGACAGAAAGAGAAGAACGUUCCUGGUAAUUGUCUAGUCCAUGAUGAAGACUGGAAUGGCUCUGCUUUAUCACCCCUGAUUUACCUUGGUUCUCAAGAUUGAUUAGACAAGGCAUAAUAUACACUAAUUAGAAAUAUUUCCAGCCCUGCCUUGCUUCACAGUUACCAUUUAAAAAAAUCAUCCAUGGUUCCGUAGAACUUAAACAUUUCUUUUCAUUUGUAUAUUUGCCUGCCACAAAACAUUUGUCUUUAUUUCAAGAUUUUUUUCAAGUCAACUUUCCUCGAACAAUCCACGGUGAAAUUCAACAAAUAAACCACAUUUCCUGUCACUUAUGGAGACAGAAAGUCGAAGAUGGAGAAACCCUUAGGCUUCAGUUUUAGUUCCUCUAACGGCAAGAUUUUUCAGUGUGUGGCAUAUUCCAAGACCUUACCACUGAGAACUUUUCCUUGAAAAAAAAAAUAUAGCAGCUGGCCUAUUUUCUGCUGUCAAAUUUUGAUACACUCUCUUGAUUCAUUUGAGAUACGUGGACUCAGUGCUUUUAGAAAUUUUCCUUUUCUGACCCAAUGGAGAAAUCCACCUCGAUAAGAACCAGUCAGGCAGAUUGCAUGGUCAGACUCAGACGUGGUGUUCUUUGUUUUUGUUUUUGCUUUUUUACCAAUCUUUGUCAGUUAAUCUGAAGGAAAUCUUCACUGGCCAUUUGUUAGAGCAUAAUUUUUAGGGAUGUAAUUAUUACUGUAAUUUUUAGGGAUGUGUCCAUAGGAAUUUUUAGGGAUGUGUCCAUAGGAAUCCCAGGUGGGGUUGCAGAGAACAGUGUUUCUGUCUACGGCUCCAGAGGGAGCCCCCAAGGAGUCUUCUUUAUCUUCCUAAGUCUUGGUGAUUUAUAGUUUGCAUUCUAGUCUCAGAGAACACAGAUCUCAUGAACCCCAAAGUGGUUUGCUUUGCUGCUGGUAAUCUAGUUUGCAAAGUUAUUGCUUUCAAGAGAUUCCUAAUGUGGUCUUAGAUAUAUGGUCUCAUGUCAAAUUCCAGUGGAGAAACGAGGAAUAAUGCUCUCCCAAUCGCUCCUAGCCUCGGGUUCCAGUUUCCAGUUUUAUGACAGGUAACAAGAGAAUAACGAAAGAAACAGAUAUUCUUAGAGCAAUUAAAAAUGUGCAUGGGAACAAAAUGAAAUGUAGCCACUUGUUUUUAGUCAGUUUUCUCACCAUCCUUUUGGGUCCUCAUCACACCCAUUCUCAGUCCAUCUUUUUCUUAGGCGCCCAUUGAUAGGGACCGUGGGUGAUUUUGAAUCUGAUGUCCUUGGUUCCGAGCUCUACCACUUACCAUCUGCGUCACAUUGAGCAAGUUACUUAACCACUCGAAAUAGCAACCUCCUCAUCUAUAAAGUGGCAAUAAUUCCUAGGGGUUAUUGUGAGGAUUAAGUGAGAUCAUAUAUGUAAAAUGCUUAGCCCUGUCCUAGCUACUUAAACAAGGUACAGUAAAAAGGUCCAUAUUAUUGUUAUUCAAGUAAAUGCCGAACAUGUCACUCAACUUCAGUUCUUUGAGAAAAACAUCCGUCUGAAACACAUGAGAUGGUUCAUAAUUAAGUGUUCAUGUUACCAGGUAACAUCAAGACCAUGACAACAAGUGUAGCUUUAUAUUCCAGAACAACAUAAUGUGGAUAAAUGGAGCAAUCCCAAAUUCAAAUGGAAAAUCUGCUUUGCUGGAAGAGACUCUAAGCAGGAUGAAUGUGUGUGAAAUUGACUGCUGAGAAAUAGGAUUCCAUGGGCAAGAGCAACUGCUCAGGAAUUUAAAAAAUAUAUGGUUGACAAUGAUCAAUAGCCAUUACGUAGGUUACCAGCAGGAAUUUACCUUUUUGAUAAUUCAUAUAUGUGUCCAGCAGACAUUUAUUGAAUUCCCAAGACCAGCCAUGCCAAGUACUGACACUGGGGAGCAGAGUCCCUGUCCUCAAGGAGCUCGUGAUCUGACUUCGUGCAGAACACAUCUGGAACAGAGCGGUGGUACACAUAACCCUGCAGGGCCCCGCUGGCUGCCUGAGGCAGGGUACCACAGGGAAGUGGGAGAGUUCCCCUCUACCCCUGUUGAGUUCUUAUAGCUGCACUAAUAAUAAAAUUGACACAAGACAGAUUAACAGGAGAAAAAGAACCUUUUUCAUUCAUGAGCAUGGAGGUUUUAUAGAAAUAGGACCUAAGAAGUGGCCAAAGCAGGAAGCUUCUAUGUUUUUUAGACAAAGAAACAGUACAUUUGAGAGGAAUUGACAGGACACAAAAACUUAGGUUUUGGGUGCUCAAUUAGUGAUGAAUUUAAACAGAAUUUGGUCUUGAGGUAGUAAUUGAAAAGAAGUAACAAGGUUUGUUUAUUUGUUUAUAUAGGCUUCUCAGCCCGAAUUCCCUAUCUCUGGCAAUUAGAGUGUCCUUCUACUUCCAGAUGCGGCGAGUGUCCCUUUCACAUGAGAGAUUUAUUUCCUCCUUUCAGGGAGACAGAGAGGAGGGUCAGUGUGUCCCUCUUGCAUUGGCUGUUUCUUAGGUCACUUUCAUUCAAAAUAAUCAAUAUGUCACGAGGCACAUUUUGGGGCAGCCUACUCUGGGCUCCAACAGUACCGGUGAGCUGAGGGUUGAAGAAAAGAAGCAGGUAAAUAAGCCGGGGGGUUGGAGAGGCGGGAUCCUUCCAGUGGAUUCUCUGUCUGCUGAAGGGAGCUCAGCAAUUUUUGUUAGUUGCAGCCCAAAGAGUAUUAAUUAGAAGAGGCAUCCAAAGAGGAAAAGUUGAUUGUUCGAGGACCUUGAAGUGAAAAGAACAAAGUGCUCAAAAAAAAAAAAGAAAAAGAAAACCAAA